rnacentral:rRNA from 1 species
AUUGAACGCUGGCGGCAGGCUUAACACAUGCAAGUCGAGCGGAGCGAGGGUGCUUGCACCUUAGCUUGGCGGCGGACGGGUGAGUAAUGCUUAGGAAUCUGCCUAUUAGUGGGGGACAACAUUCCGAAAGGAAUGCUAAUACCGCAUACGCCCUACGGGGGAAAGCAGGGGAUCUUCGGACCUUGCGCUAAUAGAUGAGCCUAAGUCGGAUUAGCUAGUUGGUGGGGUAAAGGCCUACCAAGGCGACGAUCUGUAGCGGGUCUGAGAGGAUGAUCCGCCACACUGGGACUGAGACACGGCCCAGACUCCUACGGGAGGCAGCAGUGGGGAAUAUUGGACAAUGGGCGGAAGCCUGAUCCAGCCAUGCCGCGUGUGAAGAAGGCCUUUUGGUUGUAAAGCACUUUAAGCGAGGAGGAGGCUCUUAAGGUUAAUACCCUUGAUGAGUGGACGUUACUCGCAGAAUAAGCACCGGCUAACUCUGUGCCAGCAGCCGCCGUAACAC